CCAAUAGCGUAUAUUAAAGUUGUUGCAGUUAAAAAGCUCGUAGUUGAAUUUCGGGAUCAAAGAAUCGGUCAUGCCUUGGUAUGUACUGGUUUUAUUGGUUCUCACCUUCUAAAGAACCAUAAUGUCAUUUAUUUGAUGUUAUGGGGAAUUAGGACUGUUACCUUGAAAAAAUUAGAGUGUUUAAAGCAAGCUUACGCUUGAAUACAUUAGCAUGGAAUAA
rnacentral:rRNA from 1 species